rnacentral:rRNA from 1 species
UUUGAUCCUGGCUCAGGACGAACGCUGGCGGCGUGCUUAACACAUGCAAGUCGAACGAUGAUGCCCAGCUUGCUGGGCGGAUUAGUGGCGAACGGGUGAGUAAUACGUGAGUAACCUGCCCUUGACUCUGGGAUAAGCCUGGGAAACUGGGUCUAAUACUGGAUACUACGCUCCAUCGCAUGGUGGGGGGUGGAAAGGGUUUUACUGGUUUUGGAUGGGCUCACGGCCUAUCAGCUUGUUGGUGGGGUAAUGGCUCACCAAGGCGACGACGGGUAGCCGGCCUGAGAGGGUGACCGGCCACACUGGGACUGAGACACGGCCCAGACUCCUACGGGAGGCAGCAGUGGGGAAUAUUGCACAAUGGGCGGAAGCCUGAUGCAGCGACGCCGCGUGAGGGAUGACGGCCUUCGGGUUGUAAAC